UUAGGUCGGGAACUCAAAGGAGACUGCCAGUGAUAAACUGGAGGAAGGUGGGGAUGACGUCAAGUCAUCAUGGCCCUUACGACCAGGGCUACACACGUGCUACAAUGGCGCAUACAAAGAGAAGCGACCUCGCGAGAGCAAGCGGACCUCAUAAAGUGCGUCGUAGUCCGGAUUGGAGUCUGCAACUCGACUCCAUGAAGUCGGAAUCGCUAGUAAUCGUGGAUCAGAAUGCCACGGUGAAUACGUUCCCGGGCCUUGUACACACCGCCCGUCACACCAUGGGAGUGGGUUGCAAAAGAAGUAGGUAGCUUAACCUUCGGGAGGGCGCUUACCACUUUGUGAUUCAUGACUGGGGUGAAGUCGUAACAAGGUAACCGUAGGGGAACCUGCGGUUGG
rnacentral:rRNA from 1 species